AGAUCCCCCACCCCACUCCCUCUUUUUUUUAGAGACAGUCUUGCUGUGUAGUUCACACUGUCCUUGAGUUCACUAUGUAGCCCAGACUGGACUCAAAUUCCCCAGCGAUCCUCCUGCCUCAGCCUCCUCGAUGCUGGGAUUUUAGCCGUGUGCCGCCCCCACACCCACCUAAAGAUCCUCAGGGAUCAUUCCUGUCUAAGUCAGAACCAGAUUAAUCCCUUUCGCCCCCACACCCACCUAAAGAUCCUCAGGGAUCAUUCCUGUCUAAAUCAGAACCAGAUUAAUCCCUUUCGUGUUCCACACUCACAACUGUGACACCCACACAUUAAUAAAAUGGAAUCUGUAUUUGUAGCGUGAAUUAAGGACUGAAUGCUUGCUUUGAACUCUUUUCCUGAAUCCUUCCCCAUUCCCGCCCAGAUCUGCUAAACCGAUCAAGGUAGAGAAAGCCAUAAUAGGAUUAAUAAGGUGGGGAGCGAAACAUCCAAUCAGGCAUCAGGGUGGGGCUGAAACAUCCAUCCAAUCAGGCAUCAGGGUGGGGGCUGAAACAUCCAAUCAGGCA
rnacentral:lncRNA from 1 species